GCGGCUCGCUCCUGACAUUAUUCUUAUUUUGUCAAAGUACGUACGUUCACUUCUUUUAUUUUCAGUGACGUGUACUUCCCUUUUCUCAUGAUAUAAAGGAAACCAUCUCGACGUCAAGAAAAGUGCGCCUGAGCUUUUUUUAAUAGCGAAAAGUCGCAGGCAUUUAGCGGAGGUGUUUUGCGCGAACUUUUGUCAAGAAUCGUACGUCUUCCUCAACAAUGCACAGCCGGUUGGAUCCGAUUACAUUUUCAAAACUAGCAUUUUGAUACGAGUGUAACGCGAGAAAUAAAGAAGAAUAAAGAGGAACAGAUACAUAUAGAUGUACGGUUUAGAUAUUUCCGAAAAUAGGAAAUUGGUAUAUUUGUACAAUAUUCCCUCGGCGUUCCGAUCGUUCAAAUGAUAUCUUUUAAUUUUGAAUAACAUAUCAUUUGCCGCGUCAGUCACGCAAUAUUUCGGUGAAAUGGAUUUGGGAAACCGCAUUGUUGGAGAAGGGCACUUGUGUGAGAGUAUGUCUGUAUACAUUUGUACACGCGUUGUUGCGAGGAAGCAACAGGGUGUCGGUAGAUCUCUGCCGCAUUUGUAACACCUCUGGAAACGUACACCGGGUGCUCGCAUAAUUUAACAUUUGUUCGAUUAUUUUAUUGUUACUCAUUGUCAGUUACUUUGGUGAAUAUUUUAUUUGUUAACAAACUUUUGUAUAAUUUUAUACAAUUUUGUAUAAUUUUAUCGCCUUUAUUCUAAAAAUAAUUUUUUUUUUUUUAAAUGAGAGAAUAAUGCCUUUAAAGAAGGGUCGAGACGAUGAUGUCCGCUGACUUAACACAUUUAAGAAAGGGGUUUUAAAAUUACAUCAUAAAGCAGAUACAAAAGCAAGAGAACGACUCGAAACUUUUUGUCUUUAAUAUAACUUCUCAGAGAUGCACAUGAAGGAAGAUAGCUGCUUGAUAUAAUUAUAAUUUAUGCAAGUCAUAAAAGGUUAAACAUACUCUGAGUAGAGGAGAAAAUUGUGAAUUUAAGUAAUAAAAAAAAACGCAGAUAUAUCUUGUGGCAUACUGCCGGAUUUAGAAUUAAUUCCCUGUGCUAAUGUAAUUAUUUCUUAAUCUUCGUGAAUGGUCGAGAUUUCAUGUGCCACAUAAACUUCUUUGGGAUCUCGUCUCGAGAUCCGAACGUGCAAAUACGAGCGCGAAUAUUAAACCGCGUUCUGUUUAAGCUCUACUUAUUUCCCGUGUCUUUAAAGCGAGUCAUGAUGAAAGUCGCCAUGGAGAAAAUUGCUGCAAUAUUGUGCCCGUGAGUAAUGUUUAACCGAGAUAGAAAAAAACAUACUCUUUUACUAUCUACAUGAGCAAGUUUCACAAACAAAUUUUUUCAAAUUAUCCAAAAUACAGCAAUUUUAAUUCCCGCGCGAUUCAACUUUUACCACUCGUCCUUACUCGCGGUAUUUGAUAGUUAUCCGUUUUAUUUUAUGCCAAAAAUCAUGUACGGUACAUCGUGAACAUAUAUCUGUUACAAUUUUUGUAAAUCUACCUCUCUCAAAGUUAUGAAACAGAAAGUAAUGUAGCAUUUACCAAUACAAUGCGCUAAAUAUUUGAUCAUUGACGAACUUAAGUUAAUUAACAUCGCAAUGCAAAGUAUUACGUGAUUAUUCGUAUUUGCGCUGAUCGUAAUUAAUCGUGUUUUUGCAAGUGAGUGUGAAAAAAUGUCAUGAAGAAACAAUAAAAGAUGAAUAAGAAAGAAAAAAGAAUCGGGGGGAGAUUUCAGGCGGCAACGAAACAUAAAGUGAGCAAUACAUUUUUUUUUUAUUUGAGAUUUUUUUAUUUGAGGUGUGUAGUAGAUUAUUUAAA